CGGAGGCUAGCGUUGUUCGGAAUUACUGGCGUAAGCGCGCGUAGGCGGCUUGGCAAGUGAGGCGUGAAGUCCUGGGCUCAACCCGGGACGGCGCUUCAGACUGCUUGGCUUGAGUCCGGAAGAGGGUGGUGGAAUUCCGAGUGUAGAGGUGAAAUUCGUAGAUAUUCGGAGGAACACCGGUGGCGAAGGCGGCCACCUGGUCCGGAACUGACGCUGAAGUGCGAAAGCGUGGGAGCAAACAGGAUU
rnacentral:rRNA from 1 species